rnacentral:misc_RNA from 1 species
CCGGGUAUCAGGGGCUCCGGCCCCGCUCCCACACCCUCUGCAAACCCCUUCGACGACUCCAUUGGCGCGAGGUCGUGCGGAGGGGGUCCCCUCUCUUGCGGAGGGCGGCUCCCCUCCCUGACCUGCCAGCCAACAGAAAACUCUGCCUAGAAACCUGCUUUCUGAGCUACACUAUGGAAAUAGCGAA